rnacentral:lncRNA from 1 species
UUUAGCAUGCUCGACUAGAUGCAAGGCCUUGACAAAGCAAAUUAACACGUAGCAACUAAGCAUGCAAGACACAUAAGACAAUUAAAGCCCUAACUAUUACAUUUGCUAGCUAGGCACAUGACUUCGAUAGGUCUUCAUUGAAUGCUCCUCCAAGCCCUAUCUAUUACAUUAGGGAGACCCUACUACAAUCUAAAAGGGGGAAAAGGAAUAAAAUAAUUAAAUCCCUAACUAUUACAAGCCAAGAGAUGUACACAUACCCCAUAAAGAAUAACUUAAAUGAAAAGCAAAAGUAAAUGACAUAAAUAAAAGAAAUUAAAGAAAAAUAAGGGAAGCAAGUAGACAUGCAAUUUUCACGUAGCACGUUGGAUCACAUAGGGGAGAGACAAAAAAGAUAAAAGAAAUUAUACCUCCCUUGAAAUGGAGCUCUAGUGGGGUGAAGUCACUUAUUUAUCCUCCAAAAUAAAAGAAAUGGUCAAGGCACCAAUUUAUUAACAAAUAAUCAUGAAAGAUAAAAAUGAAUUGUGAAAUUGAAUCAAUUAAAUCAUGUAAGUGACCUACAUUCAAGAAAUUAAAACAAGUGAGGACUCAAUUGCAAGAAUUAACAAAGUUUUGGGGGUGCAAUCACAAUUAUCACAAAGAUCCGGGGUCACAAUCAAAGAAAAAUAAAGUGCAGGGGCCUAUUUGCAAUUACAUUAGGGACCCAAUUAAAAGCAUUGAAAGUGUCUAGGGUCACAAUACAGUUAAGGAGAAAUUCAGGGAUUGAUUUGCAAAAUCGUUUUAUGGUUUCUUAAGCAGACAAGCUUCUGGGCCUAUUUCUUAUUUCAACUUCCUAAGCCCAAAAAGAAUCUAACGAACAGAUGCGGGCCAAAACAUUAUGUUUAUCAAACAAACCCAACAACAUGAAUGGACUUUUAACCCCCCCCCCAAAUCAACUACAAGCCCAGGAAACAAACAAAACAAAUCCCAACAAUUCGCAUUAAAAUUUAAAAGAGCCAAAUCAAAUCGAUUUUUAUAUAUUUUAGGCCACUGGGAAAUUAAACAAAUUUUGAGGGGUUAAAUUGUAAUUUCCAGAUUUGUUCAUGCAUGCUCUGCGCAGAAGGCUUUCCUUCACAGAAACUCUUCUUCAUCACUGAUUUCUUGGAUUUUUGCAGCAUAUACAAUCGAAGUAACUUAGGCCUUCUCAAACCAAAUCAUCAAAUUCAUUAACCCAUUCCCUUAAGCUCCAAAACUCGACAUAAGAAGCAAGAUACAAACCCCUGAAGGUCGAUCAAAGAACCAAAAUAAUGGAAGAGCAUGCAAUCAGGACAUUUUCUGCAACAAUACUUUUUAUGAAUUUCAUGCCAGGCGCAAACAACGACCAAACAUUCAAACCAAAAAAAAAAAAAAA